rnacentral:tRNA from 1 species
GGAAGGAUGGCUGAGCUUGGUUGAAGGCGCUCGACUCGAAAUCGAGUUUGCGGGGAACCGCAACGUGGGUUCGAAUCCCACUCCUUCCG